UGUAGCUCUACUGUGAAGGCCACUGGAAGUGAUGCAUGGAUAUGGAAAUGAUGCACAGUCGCCAAGGGCUAAGUAAGGCAUUGAGAAAUACUAUCAAGUUUGGAUGACAUCCCUGUUCUCAUGAAGAUCACAAUCUAACAGGGGCUAAGAAUGUAACCCAAGUUUCAAGCCUGGAGCAUUUUGCAUAAAAGAUUCUAACCAGUGGAGAGAAUGAUGACUCAAAGCUACAUGCCAUGUGAGGAAAGGAGUUGACAUGAGAGAAG
rnacentral:lncRNA from 1 species